AUGGUGUCCCCAUGUCGCCAUUGCUCAGUGUCUCAUGUCCUCAUGGUGUCCCCAUGUCACCAUUCCCCAAUGUCUCAUGUCCCCAUCAUGUCCCCAUCAUGUCCCCAUGUCCCCAUCGAGUCCCCAUGUCAGCAUUCCCUAAUGUCCCCAUGUCCCUAUGGUGUCCCCAUGUCCCCAUUCCCCGUGUCUCCUGUCCCCAUCGUGUCCCCAUGUCCCCAUGGUGUCCCCAUUGCCCAGUGUCCCCAUGUCCCCAUUGCCCAUGUCUCAUGUCCCUAUGGUGUCCUCAUGUCCCCAUUCCCCUUGUCUCAUGUCCCCAUGGUGUCCCCAUGUCCCCAUUCCCCAAUGUCUCGUUUCCCCAUGGUGUCCCCAUGUCCCCAUGGUGUCCCCAUGUCCCCAUUCUCCAAUGUCUCAUGUCCCCAUCAUGUCCCCAUCAUGUCCCCAUGUCCCCAUCGUGUCCCCAUGUCAGCAUUCCCUAAUGUCUCCAUGUCCCCAUGGUGUCCCCAUGUCCCCAUGGUGUCCCCAUUGCCCAACGUCCCCAUGUCCCCAUUGCUCAUGUCUCAUGUCCCAUGGUGUCCCUAUGUCCCCAUGUCUCAUGUCCCCAUCGUGUCCCCAUUGCCCAUGUCUCAUGUCCCCAUGGUGUCCUCAUGCCCCCAGUGCCCAUGUCUCAUGUCCCCAUCAUGUCCCCAUGUCCCCAUUCCCCAUGUCUCAUGUCCCCAUGGUGUCCCCAUUGCCCAAUGUCCCCAUGUCCCCAUCGUGUCCCCAUGUCACCAUGGUGUCCUCAUGUCCCCAUGGUGUCCCCAUGUCCCCAUUCCCCCAAGUCUCAUGUCCCCCUGUCACCAUUCACCAAUGUCCCAUGUCCCCAUCAUGUCCCCAUUGCCCAGUGUCCCCAUGUCCCCAUUCCCCAAUGUCUCAUAUCCCCAUGGUGUCCUCAUGUCCCCAUUCCCCUUGUCUCAUAACUUCAUGGUGUCCCCAUGUCCCCAUCGUGUCCCCAUGUCACCAUGGUGUCCUCAUGUCCCCAUGGUGUCCCCAUGUCACCAUUCCCCAGUGUCUCAUGUCCCCAUCAUGUCCCCAUCAUGUCCCCAUUCCCCAAUGUCUCAUGUCCCCAUGGUGUCCCCAUGUCCCCAUCAUGUCCCCAUGUCCCCAUUGCCCAUGUCCUUAUGUCCCCAUGCUGUCCCCAUUCCCCAAUGUCUCAUGUCCCCA
rnacentral:lncRNA from 1 species